UACGUAGGGUGCGAGCGUUGUCCGGAAUUACUGGGCGUAAAGAGCUCGUAGGUGGUUUGUCGCGUUGUUCGUGAAAACUCACAGCUUAACUGUGGGCGUGCGGGCGAUACGGGCAGACUGGAGUACUGCAGGGGAGACUGGAAUCCUGGUGUUAGCGGUGGAAUGCGCAGAUAUCAGGAGGAACACCGGUGGCGAAGGCGGGUCUCUGGGCAGUAACUGACGCUGAGGAGCGAAAGCGUGGGGAGCGAACAGG
rnacentral:rRNA from 1 species